AACCAUAGAAACCUGCGGAGUACCUGCGGCGGGAUCAUUACACAAUACAAUAUGAAGGCUGUCCGCAGCUGGAGUAUUUUAUUACCCUUGUCUUUUGCGCACUUGUUGUUUCCUGGGCGGGUUCGCUCGCCACCAGGACCACCAAAUAAACCUUUUUUAUGCAGUUGCAAUCAGCGUCAGUACAAACAAUGUAAAUCAUUUACAACUUUCAACAACGGAUCUCAGAUCGGAAGAGCACAC
rnacentral:misc_RNA from 1 species